GACGAACGCUGGCGGCGUGCCUAAUACAUGCAAGUAGAACGCUGAAGAGAGGAGCUUGCUCUUCUUGGAUGAGUUGCGAACGGGUGAGUAACGCGUAGGUAACCUGCCUGGUAGCGGGGGAUAACUAUUGGAAACGAUAGCUAAUACCGCAUGAUAUUAAUUGUCGCAUGAUAAUUAAUUGAAAGAUGCAAUUGCAUCACUACCAGAUGGACCUGCGUUGUAUUAGCUAGUUGGUGAGGUAACGGCUCACCAAGGCGACGAUACAUAGCCGACCUGAGAGGGUGAUCGGCCACACUGGGACUGAGACACGGCCCAGACUCCUACGGGAGGCAGCAGUAGGGAAUCUUCGGCAAUGGGGGGAACCCUGACCGAGCAACGCCGCGUGGGUGAAGAAGGUUUUCGGAUCGUAAAGCUCUGUUGUAAGAGAAGAACGGGUGUGAGAGUGGAAAGUUCACACUGUGACGGUAUCUUACCAGAAAGGGACGGCUAACUACGUGCCAGCAGCCGCGGUAAUACGUAGGUCCCGAGCGUUGUCCGGAUUUAUUGGGCGUAAAGCGAGCGCAGGCGGUUAGAUAAGUCUGAAGUUAAAGGCUGUGGCUUAACCAUAGUAUGCUUUGGAAACUGUUUAACUUGAGUGCAGAAGGGGAGAGUGGAAUUCCAUGUGUAGCGGUGAAAUGCGUAGAUAUAUGGAGGAACACCGGUGGCGAAAGCGGCUCUCUGGUCUGUAACUGACGCUGAGGCUCGAAAGCGUGGGGAGCAAACAGG
rnacentral:rRNA from 1 species